rnacentral:miRNA from 1 species
CUUCUAACUUUCUAACCACCCAUC